rnacentral:rRNA from 1 species
ACAUGCAAGUGUACGAGAACCCGGUGCUUGCAUUGGGGGGAGAGUGGCGAACGGGUGAGUAACACGUGGAUUAUCUGCCUUCAGGUCUGGGAUAACCCCGGGAAACCGGGGCUAAUACCGGAUAAUAUGGCAACAUUAAAGGUGGGGACCUUCGGGCCUAUCGCCUGAAGAUGAGUCCGCGUCCCAUUAGCUUGUUGGUGGGGUAAUGGCCUACCAAGGCGACGAUGGGUAGCCGGCCUGAGAGGGUGUACGGCCACAUUGGGACUGAGAUACGGCCCAGACUCCUACGGGAGGCAGCAGUUAAGAAUCUUGCGCAAUGGGCGAAAGCCUGACGCAGCGACGCCGCGUGGACGAUGAAGGCCUUCGGGUUGUAAAGUCCGGUAAGCAGGGAAGAAUAAGUGUAAAGUAAUAUCUUGCACGAUGACGGUACCUGCCUAAAGCCCCGGCUAACUACGUGCCAGCAGCCGCGGUAAUACGUAUGGGGCAAGCGUUGUUCGGAAUUAUUGGGCAUAAAGGGCGUCUAGGCGGGGGACUAAGUUAGGUGUGAAAGCCAUGGGCUCAACCCAUGAAUUGCACCUAAAACUGGUUUUCUUGAGUUCGGGAGAGGAGAGCGGAAUUCCCGGUGUAGCGGUGAAAUGCGUAGAUAUCGGGAAGAACACCAGUGGCGAAGGCGGCUCUCUGGCCUAGAACUGACGCUGAAGCGCGAAAGCGUGGGGAGCGAACGGGAUUAGAUACCCCGGUAGUCCACGCCGUAAACGUUGUGUACUAGGUGUUAGUGGCUUGACCACUAGUGCCGUCGCAAACGCAUUAAGU